GGAAGGCGCGGUCCGGCUGCAGAUACCGGGCUGCCGCCUCGGCGAUCUCGUCGGCGCCGAUCGUGCGGUAGUCUUCCA
rnacentral:tRNA from 1 species